GGAUGAACGCUGGCGGCGUGCCUAAUACAUGCAAGUCGAGCGAACAGACGAGGAGCUUGCUCCUCUGACGUUAGCGGCGGACGGGUGAGUAACACGUGGAUAACCUACCUAUAAGACUGGGAUAACUUCGGGAAACCGGAGCUAAUACCGGAUAAUAUAUUGAACCGCAUGGUUCAAUAGUGAAAGACGGUUUUGCUGUCACUUAUAGAUUGAUCCGCGCCGCAUUAGCUAGUUGGUAAGGUAACGGCUUACCAAGGCAACGAUGCGUAGCCGACCUGAGAGGGUGAUCGGCCACACUGGAACUGAGACACGGUCCAGACUCCUACGGGAGGCAGCAGUAGGGAAUCUUCCGCAAUGGGCGGAAGCCUGACGGAGCAACGCCGCGUGAGUGAUGAAGGUCUUCGGAUCGUAAAACUCUGUUAUUAGGGAAGAACAAAUGUGUAAGUAACUAUGCACGUCUUGACGGUACCUAAUCAGAAAGCCACGGCUAACUACGUG
rnacentral:rRNA from 1 species